rnacentral:snRNA from 1 species
AUAUUUUUCGCCUAAAAUAUU